rnacentral:tRNA from 1 species
CAUAAAUUAAUUUAUUAAAAUACCUGUUUUGGAUACAGACAUUACAUCUAUAACACU